GAUGAAGAACGUAGCGAAAUGCGAUAAGUAGUGUGAAUUGCAGAAUUCCGUGAAUCAUCGAAUCUUUGAACGCACAUUGCGCCUUCUGGUAUUCCGGAAGGCAUGCCUGUUCGAGAGUCAUUAACAACCGUUUCGAUCCCUUUCUUUCAGAAAUUACAAAGAGGAAAAGGGUUUGGUUAUGGUGGAGGAGGGAAAGGGAGCGUUUAGCCUGUAAAAAAAGAGGCUGUGUUCCGCCUCCCCCCCAAAAUUGUACAGGCGGUCGUGUGCGCCCACGCAUCAAGGUGUUGUAAAAGCUGCCACGGCACUUUUCACCUGUGCAGUGCGAGAUUGGCCAGCCGGUUUAAAAACCCCUCCAAACAAUCAAAGGUUGACCUCGGAUCAGGUAGGGAUACCCGCUGAACUUAAGCAUAUCAAUAAGCGGAGGA
rnacentral:misc_RNA from 1 species